ensembl:lncRNA
AGCAAAUCUACUUCAUUAAUAAUUCUGGCCUUGAGUUUUUCAAAAAUACUUGGAUUUGCCUCAAAUUCCAUGAAUAAUGUUCUCUAUGAAUCAAAUCCUGUGUUUAAUUUCUCACAUGUGACUCUUCUGCAGCCACCAUUCUAACAUUGCUGGCUGCUUUUGACUUGAUGUCAAAUCUUGGAGUUAGUCUUUCACAAGCCUGAACCAUGACAUCAAAAGCUUCAGAGAAGUGGAGUAUGGGCCCCAUCUGGGCACCGUUUGAACCGAGUGCAUUGUGAGCAUUCUACUCUGGAUACCAAAGACCCUGGCAGCAGUGGUGACCUGAGGGAAGGGAACUGUGGAAACUGGGAGGCGCAGACAGAGACUUCCUUUAUUUUCACUGUAAAGCUUUUGUGCAUCUGACCUCCCCCAUCCUGACCUAUGGAUCACUUCAUCAGGUU